rnacentral:rRNA from 1 species
GACGAACGCUGGCGGCGUGCUUAACACAUGCAAGUCGAACGGAAAGGCCCUGCUUUUGUGGGGUGCUCGAGUGGCGAACGGGUGAGUAACACGUGAGUAACCUGCCCUUGACUUUGGGAUAACUUCAGGAAACUGGGGCUAAUACCGGAUAGGAGCUCCUGCUGCAUGGUGGGGGUUGGAAAGUUUCGGCGGUUGGGGAUAGACUCGCGGCUUAUCAGCUUGUUGGUGGGGUAGUGGCUUACCAAGGCUUUGACGGGUAGCCGGCCUGAGAGGGUGACCGGGCACAUGGGGACUGAGAUACGGCCCAGACUCGUACGGGAGGCAGCAGUGGGGAAUAUGGCACAAUGGGCGGAAGCCUGAUGCAGCAACGCCGCGUGCGGGAUGACGGCCUUCGGGUUGUAAACCGCUUUCGCCUGUGACGAAGCGUGAGUGACGGUAAUGGGUAAAGAAGCACCGGCUAACUACGUG